AGUGAACGCUGGCGGUAGGCCUAACACAUGCAAGUCGAACGGCAGCACAGUAAGCGCUUGCUCUUACGGGUGGCGAGUGGCGGACGGGUGAGGAAUACAUCGGAAUCUACUUUUUCGUGGGGGAUAACGUAGGGAAACUUACGCUAAUACCGCAUACGACCUACGUGUGAAAGCAGGGGAUCUUCGGACCUUGCGCGAUUGAAUGAGCCGAUGUCGGAUUAGCUCGUUGGCGGGGUAAAGGCCCACCCAGGCGACGAUCCGUAGCUGGACUGAGGGGAUGAUCAGCCACACUGGAACGGAGAAACGGUCCAGACUCCUACGGGAGGCAGCAGUGGGGAAUAUUGGACAAUGGGCGCAAGCCGGAUCCAGCCAUACCGCGUGGGUGAAGAAGGCCUUCGGGUUGUAAAGCCCUUUUGUUGGGAAAGAAAAGCAGCAGGUUAAUACCCCGCUGUUCUGACGGUACCCAAAGAAUAAGCACCGGCUAACUUCGUG
rnacentral:rRNA from 1 species